rnacentral:rRNA from 1 species
UACAGAGGUCUCAAGCGUUGUUCGGAAUCACUGGGCGUAAAGGGUGCGUAGGCUGCACGGUAAGUCAGAGGUGAAAUCCCGGAGCUCAACUCCGGAAUGGCCUCCGAUACUGCCGUGCUUGAGGACUGGAGAGGAGUCUGGAAUUCACAGUGGAGCAGUGAAAUGCGUAGAUAUUGUGAGGAACACUAGUGGCGAAGGCGAGACUCUGGACAGUUCCUGACGCUGAGGCACGAAGGCCAGGGGAGCAAACGGG